UCGAUACUUAUUAAUAUCGAUGGUUCAGCCCAGGAACAGCUGUGCUUGACCGGGACCAUUCACAAUGGACUCCCCGUCUAUUGAUAAUUUAUUUGCUGCUACGCAAAUAAAUAAAUAAAAGGCUCAACACUAGACAUGUAAGGGUGAGAUGAGGAUCCUCAGUAUGACGCUGCACCACGGCACGCAGUCACUGUAGAAGGCGCCUACUAAAAACUCAAAUCUUGCUCGGGCUAUGGCGAAUUGCUGCUCCUAUGCUCUGAUACGUAGGGCAACGAUGCUCCUUCCGCUUGGGACAGGACAUGGACCUACUACGCAACCAUUCAUAAGAACUACCAAACAACCACAAAAAAAAACGGUAACUAACACAAAAAAAACAUAAGGCAACUAUACUAUUCUUUACUUAACACCUGACAGACAUUACUCUCUAUCUUUCCAGCCUCAGAGCACCCUGUAGGGCAACAAUGAGUGGGCACCAAGACCCCUCACGGACCUGCUACACUCGCUCCUUCGCUGCGCCUAUUCUGCUGGUUACCAACCUACACCGCGCUGUAAGAAAGAUGCAACUGCGGCAACGAUGGGCUGAGCCCUAGUGAAGCUCACCCACGGACCUGGCAGUUGCACCGUUUCCCGCCAGCUCAGGGGCCGCCAGCAGCUAUUGCUGUUGAAAUUUACAUGUAAACACUAAAUAAAGAAUACAAAUCAACAAAAAAAACAAACAACAAGACUCUGGCUUUUAACUUCGCUUCGAACUGGGGCAACAUUUGCUAAAAUGUAGACCCAGGUGUAU